CCCUAGUAUUGGGUUAUGUUAAUAAAUUAUUAGUAAGGAUUGAAAUUAAAUAUUUUUGGCGGUUAGUUAAUUUUUAGAGGAGCUUGUUUUAGAAAAUACUCUUUAUAUUUUAUUUAUAAAAGUUUAUUUAUCUCCGUUAUAAGAUGAAAAUUUAUAAAUUUGAAGAUUAUAUUUCAGGUCAAGAUGUAGCAAUUGUAAAUAUGUAAAUUAGCUACAAUUAUGAAAUAAUGGAUUAAUAAUUUGUAUUUUAUUAUGAAAUUGAAUUUAGUUGUAAUAUAUUUUAUAAUGAAUAUAUGAAUUUAUUAUAAUUAAUGUA
rnacentral:rRNA from 1 species